UACGUAGGUGGCGAGCGUUGUCCGGAAUUACUGGGUGUAAAGGGAGCGUAGGCGGGAGUGCAAGUUGAAUGUUAAAUCUAUCGGCUCAACCGAUAGCCGCGUUCAAAACUGCAUUUCUUGAGUGAAGUAGAGGUUGGCGGAAUUCCUAGUGUAGCGGUGAAAUGCGUAGAUAUUAGGAGGAACACCUGUGGCGAAGGCGGCCAACUGGGCUUUACUGACGCCGAGGCUCGAAAGCGUGGGGAGCAAACAGGAUUAGAUACCCUGGUAGUCCCUGA
rnacentral:rRNA from 1 species